UACGUAGGGUGCGAGCGUUGUCCGGAAUUAUUGGGCGUAAAGAGCUUGUAGGCGGUCUGUCGCGUCUGCUGUGAAAAUCCGGGGCUCAACCCCGGGAGGCGGGCGGAUACUGCCGGGCUAGAGUCCGGAAGAGGCGAGUGGAAUUCCUGGUGUAGCGGUGAAAUGCGCAGAUAUCAGGAGGAACACCCGUGGCGAAGGCGGUUCUCUGGGACGGUACUGACGCUGAGACGCGAAAGCGUGGGAGGCGAACAGG
rnacentral:rRNA from 1 species